rnacentral:rRNA from 1 species
UCCGUAGGUGAACCUGCGGAGGGAUCAUUACCGAGUUUACAACUCCCAAACCCAUGUGAACAUACCUACUGUUGCUUCGGCGGGAUUGCCCCGGGCGCCUCGUGUGCCCCGGAUCAGGCGCCCGCCUAGGAAACUUAAUUCUUGUUUUAUUUUGGAAUCUUCUGAGUAGUUUUUACAAAUAAAUAAAAACUUUCAACAACGGAUCUCUUGGUUCUGGCAUCGAUGAAGAACGCAGCGAAAUGCGAUAAGUAAUGUGAAUUGCAGAAUUCAGUGAAUCAUCGAAUCUUUGAACGCACAUUGCGCCCGCCAGUAUUCUGGCGGGCAUGCCUGUCUGAGCGUCAUUUCAACCCUCAUGCCCCUAGGGCGUGGUGUUGGGGAUCGGCCAAAGCCCGCGAGGGACGGCCGGCCCCUAAAUCUAGUGGCGGACCCGUCGUGGCCUCCUCUGCGAAGUAGUGAUAUUCCGCAUCGGAGAGCGACGAGCCCCUGCCGUUAAACCCCCAACUUUCCAAGGUUGACCUCAGAUCAGGUAGGAAUACCCGCUGAACUUAAGCAUAUCAAUAAGCGGAGGA